rnacentral:rRNA from 1 species
CAGCCGCCACGGUAAUACGUAGGUGGCAAGCGUUGUCCGGAAUUAUUGGGCGUAAAGGGCUCGCAGGCGGUUUCUUAAGUCUGAUGUGAAAGCCCCCGGCUCAACCGGGGAGGGUCAUUGGAAACUGGGAAACUUGAGUGCAGAAGAGGAGAGUGGAAUUCCACGUGUAGCGGUGAAAUGCGUAGAGAUGUGGAGGAACACCAGUGGCGGAGGCGACUCUCUGGUCUGUAACUGACGCUGAGGAGCGAAAGCGUGGGGAGCGAACAGGAUUAGAUACCCCCGUAGUCCCUGUCUCUUAUAA